rnacentral:tRNA from 1 species
GCCAGGAUGGUCUAAUCGGUUAAGGCGUCGCCCCGGACAGGCGAAGGUUGCGGGUUCAAUCCCCGCUCCUGGCA